AGGGGGCGGGACACAUUGGAGCUGCAGUGCUGCAAGGCGGCUGUGGUGGAGAGGAUUACGCAUAACAAGACCCAAUGGCUGAAAGGGGAAAAGAGACACAUUCAUAUUACAAAUAAGGCUCAAAUAUUC